UCAAAGAUGAUGAGGUUAAUAGGUUCGAGGUGGAAGCAUGGUGACAUGUGGAGCUGACGAAUACUAAUCGAUCGAAGACUUAAUCAA
rnacentral:rRNA from 1 species